GGGUCAGUAGGUUGGUCGUGCCACCGGUACGUACUGGUCUCACUGAUUCCUCCUUCCUGAAGAACCGUAAUGCCAUUAAUUUGGUGUUGCGGGGAAACAGGACUGUUACUUUGAAAAAAUUAGAGUGUUUAAAGCAAGCUAGCGCUUGAAUACAUUAGCAUGGAAUAAUGAAAUAGGACGAUCGAUCCUAUUUUGUUGGUUCCUAGGAUUGACGUA
rnacentral:rRNA from 1 species